GUCUAGAUAGACCCUCGUUCGACUUGCAGCUGAGAUUGGGCUAAAGAAAAAGUUACUCUUGGUAUACUGACUCUUGGAUGCAAAAUUUAACCAAAUCCAAAAGCCACGAGCCCAAGGACAAGA
rnacentral:snoRNA from 1 species